CCGCACUGGGCAGAGAAGGAAAAGAACAGUUUAGGUGGAAGUUGCUGCCAAAGCACUACAAUAGUAGAGGCAGUAAAUUCUUCCUUCACACAAAUAAACAGGACUGCACUUGCAGUGAACUGAUCAGACGAGUGGUCAGUGAAGCGCACCCUGGAGGGCAGGCCUAGCUGCCGCCUCUCAUUCUCCACUUCAAACGUGUAGUUGAUCUCUGAGGAAGAAUAAAGGAGAAGACAUUUCACAUGAAUAAGUGAAUGAGUUGAUCUCGUUCUCAUCAAAGCAUCUAAAGGUUGGUUAAAAUAGCUGGUAAGCCACAUCCUCCAUUAACUGGGCUACUCCUCUCACUGUCUAUCACCUUUAGAGGUUUUUGUUCUCACUUUGGUAAAAGUUUUUGUCCUGCCCUUAUCAGCAAAAGAUCAAAUCUCCUUUUGAACAAGCAGAACACUUAAUGUAACCAACUCCUCUACCACCUACUCUGUUCUCUUCCACAAGCCAUGUGAAUUGCCUUCUUGGGUGCUGUUCCAGUGUAUUUAAGAACAUUACAAUUAUGUAUACAGAUACUAUACACCUUAGAGAUGGGAUCAUAAAUUGUGGGAAAGGCUGUUUUGCCUUUGUAAAGGUGGUUUGUCCCAGAAUUGAGAUAACCAGUUUUGGAGUUUCUACUUCUCGUCCUUUGUGACCUGACAGCAACCACCAAAGAYCUGAGCUUGAGGCAGCAUUCACAGUUCUGAUGCUGAGACUGUCCUCUUCCUGCCCAUUACUAGUGAUUAAGCUUAACAGUAGAUUAAACUGGAAAAAAAACAGAGGUUUGCAAAAGACUGUGACGUGAUCCCUAAUUAAAGCAUGUGCUACAGGAAUCUUAGGAUUCCGUGCCAAAGGAUCUUAGCUGCAGGGCUUCCUCACUGUUUCAUAGAUCCCAGUGCAAGCUCAGCAAGGCUGUGUGCACCUCACUGGAACAAAAGCGAGGCUGGAUCCUCAGCUACGAAAGUGGAGAUUGGUUCUGUUUUGUUCUAUCCUCAAUAAAGCACAAUUAGAUUAUAUAAGAGCAGCAAACGCAUCAGUUAACAUCUCCUUGAGGAAUUACUUAUCACCCUUGAAUUCCAUUAAAGGACACAGACAUACAAGUUACAUCAGGUACACUGCCCACAUCUGCACUCUACAGGAACUCUCCACAUUCACCCUCUUACUCUGCAAGAUGGUAAGGCAGGUUCUAAAGGGGAGAAAAAAACCAAUUUAUUGAAUCCCUGCCCUUCCCCUCCCCCACCUUCACCCUCCCCCAUUUCCAAUUUCUAGUAGGAAAAGUACAAGGCCAAACAGCUAUUACUUCUAAGUAAAUUGUUUUUAAGAAACUAGAACAAAAGCCCUGGUGUAAUUGGUUAAGGUUCUGUAUAUAAUACCUG